UAAAUCCCUUGUUCUUGGGUGAAGCUCCUAACCUUUCCCAGCUAUUCAGUUUUCAUUCUUGGAUCAUGCCCUUCUUAUGUGUCUCCUUUCUAAUGUAAAUAACCCUGUGCUUUCAACUUCUCUUCAGAUAUGACCAAUCUGAAAUUACUCCUCUGGAUUCACUUCAUUAAGCAGUAACUUCAGCGGACUUUAGCUCAAUAUGUACAACGAAUCAUUAAGUUUGGAAAUCACCUCUAAGGUCAUCUAGUCCAAUACUGCCUUCUAACCACAUCCCUGAGUGCCACAUGUCCACAGUUCUUGAACACCUCCAGGGAUGGUGACUCCACCACCUCCCUGGGCAGCCUGUGCCACUGCACCACCACUCUUCCUGAGAAUAACUUUUUUCUAGUAUAAAACCUGAACUUUCGAUGGCAAUAUUGCAUAGUGUUUUGGCUUCCUUCUGUGGAUUGAUGAAAGAGAGUUGCAAGACCAACAUGGACAUUCAUCAGUGGACACUUCUCAUUUCCAGAUACUGAACAUAAAUAGCUCUAGGACAAUGCUGUAAUCCUGCAUGGAGGAGGGAGAUGUUACAGACAUAUAUUAUGAUCCAGACCCACCCCAAUACUCGAUGUUACGUCCUGUCUCAUGGACUCCUACAGAAGCACUAAAACCAUGGCACACAAAGGCACCACGGGACUCCCACCAUCAUCAGAGCUUUCCGCCUGCCUCUGGCUCUAGCUGUCAGAACCGCUUCAGCUGAAAUCAAGUUCUUUAGAUUUAUGCAGUAGCUAUGUUUGUCAAAGUAUUUGGCACUGGUGACGUCAUCUUUGUUGAAAUGCUGGAUGGCGUGAUGAGUCCCAGAUGUUAAUGCACACUGAGAGAUGAGAAAGGAUAAAAUACAAAGAGCAACACUAACAGCUAUGGAGGUAAUGAAAGGUGAUUUUAUUUUCUUCUAGUGUUCAAAUAUAAAUAUUUGUAUUUGUUUGAUAUUUAUUUGUAUAAAUAAUCAGUUAGGGACUGAAAACUCUGCAUGUGCAGACUAAGAUGAGAAUUUGGGUGAAUGCUGAAUGAAGGAUUUGACUUCAUGAUUGCACUAUUU
rnacentral:lncRNA from 1 species